AGCGGAGGAAAAGAAACCAACAGGGAUUGCCUCAGUAACGGCGAGUGAAGCGGCAAAAGCUCAAAUUUUAAAGCUGGCAUCUUCGGUGUCCGCGUUGUAAUUUUGUGAGGCAUCUCCGGGUAGGGCGCCGGCCUAAGUUCCUUGGAACAGGACGUCACAGAGGGUGAGAAUCCCGUGCUUGGCUGGCUGUCCCCGUCCAUGUGAGGUGUCUUCGACGAGUCGAGUUGUUUGGGAAUGCAGCUCAAAAUGGGUGGUAAAUUUCAUCUAAAGCUAAAUAUUGGUGGGAGACCGAUAGCGCACAAGUAGAGUGAUCGAAAGAUGAAAAGCACUUUGAAAAUAGAGUUAAAAAGUACGUGAAAUUGUUGAAAGGGAAGCGCUUGAGACCAGACUUCGGUAGGGGGUGAUCAGCCGUCCUUCUGGGCGGUGCACUUGCCCCCCUCCGGGCCAGCAUCGGUUGAGGCGGCGGGAUAAAGGUCCCGGGAAUGUGACUCCUUCAAGGGAGUGUUAUAGCCCGGGUGAAUGCCGCCAGCUUCGACCGAGGACCGCGCCCGCAAGGGUUAGGAUGCUUGGCAUAAUGGUCUUCAGCGACCCGUCU
rnacentral:rRNA from 1 species